ensembl:misc_RNA Metazoa_SRP Metazoan signal recognition particle RNA
GCCGGGCGUGGUGGCGCACGCCUGUAGUCCCAGCUACUCGGGAGGCUGAGGCAGGAGAAUCACUUGAACCCGGGAGGCAGAGGUUGCAGUGAGCCAAGAUGGUGCAACUGUACUCCAGCCUGGGCGACAGAGUGAGACUCUGUCUCAA